rnacentral:misc_RNA from 1 species
UUUAGUACCUCCAUUUGAAAAUUUGUAAGCUUUUCUUCUCAAUAAAUUUCAUUGUGAACUCUUUUAACUCUGAUUUCUUAUGAGAUGGAUUUAUUUAAAGCCAUAUACAUUACCUUCACAGAAAGAAAAAGAAAAAGAAUCCCAUUUAGGUUUUGACUACUGCUUUUGCGCUGAGGUUCCUAUAAUUGCUUUUGGUCAAAUGAAUGAUUAACAGCUCUGGUGAUGUUCUAUCUGUUCAAUUGAAUAGUAGUGCUAUGG